rnacentral:lncRNA from 1 species
GUCGGAGACCUUCUUCGACCACUCUCGGUCGCCGUCGGCCCGAGCCAAGAGCCGGGAUGAACUCCCUUCCAGCUGGCCAAUCCUCUCCUGCGCAGCUGACAGUUCCACCCUGAGAGAGCUGAUCUUGGCAGCUUGAGCCCAAAUUCGAUCGCUGGCACUCUUCUUGUAUUCCUCAAGCUCCUUCGCGAAGUCCGCCUUCCUC